CGGAACGUGCCCAGUAGCGGGGGAUAACUACGCGAAAGCGUAGCUAAUACCGCAUACGUCCUAUGGGAGAAAGCGGGGGACCUUCGGGCCUCGCACUAUUGGAGCGGCCGAUAUCGGAUUAGCUAGUUGGUGGGGUAAAGGCUCACCAAGGCGACGAUCCGUAGCUGGUUUGAGAGGACGACCAGCCACACUGGGACUGAGACACGGCCCAGACUCCUACGGGAGGCAGCAGUGGGGAAUUUUGGACAAUGGGGGCAACCCUGAUCCAGCCAUCCCGCGUGUGCGAUGAAGGCCUUCGGGUUGUAAAGCACUUUUGGCAGGAAAGAAACGGUUCCGGAUAAUACCUGGAGCAACUGACGGUACCUGCAGAAUAAGCACCGGCUAACUACGUGCCAGCAGCCGCGGUAAUACGUAGGGUGCAAGCGUUAAUCGGAAUUACUGGGCGUAAAGCGUGCGCAGGCGGUUCGGAAAGAAAGAUGUGAAAUCCCAGAGCUUAACUUUGGAACUGCAUUUUUAACUACCGAGCUAGAGUGUGUCAGAGGGAGGUGGAAUUCCGCGU
rnacentral:rRNA from 1 species